GAUGAAGAACGUAGCGAAAUGCGAUAAGUAAUGUGAAUUGCAGAAUUCAGUGAAUCAUCGAAUCUUUGAACGCACCUUGCGCCCUUUGGCUAUUCCGAAGGGCAUGCCUGUUUGAGUAUCAUGAACACCUCAACUCUUCACGGCUUGCCGUGAUGAGUUUGGACUUUGGGGGUCUUGCUGGCCUACGAGCCAGCUCCUCUCAAAUGUAUUAGCUUGCCGGUGUUUGGUGGCAUCACAGGUGUGAUAACUAUCUACGCUUGUGGUUUUCCACUAGGUAACCUUCAGCAAUGGAGGUUCACCGGAGCUCACAAAUGUCUCUCCUUGCCAAGGACAGAUUUUGACCAUUUGAUCUCAAAUCAGGUAGGACUACCCGCUGAACUUAAGCAUAUCAAUAAGGGAGGA
rnacentral:misc_RNA from 1 species